rnacentral:rRNA from 1 species
ACUCCUACGGGAGGCAGCAGUGGGGAAUAUUGCACAAUGGGCGCAAGCCUGAUGCAGCCAUGCCGCGUGUGUGAAGAAGGCCUUCGGGUUGUAAGCACUUUUCAGUUGUGAGGAAGGUGGUGUCGUUAAUAGCGGCAUCAUUUUGACGUUUAGCAACAGAAGAAGCACCGGCUAACUCCGUGCCAGCAGCCGCGGUAAUACGGAGGGUGCGAGCGUUAAUCGGAAUUACUGGGCGUAAAGCGCAUGCAGGUGGUUUGUUAAGUCAGAUGUGAAAGCCCGGGGCUCAACCUCGGAACUGCAUUUGAAACUGGCAGACUAGAGUACUGUAGAGGGGGUAGAAUUUCAGGUGUAGCGGUGAAAUGCGUAGAGAUCUGAA